rnacentral:rRNA from 1 species
CUUGUCUUCUAAAUAAAGACCAGUAUGAACGGCUAAAUGAGGACAAAACUGUCUCUUAUAACUAAUCAGUGAAACUGAUCUUCCAGUACAAAAGCUGGGAUAAGCACAUAAGACGAGAAGACCCCGUGGAGCUUAAAACAAACCACUACCACACAACCCUAGUGCAAUGUUUUAAGUUGGGGCGACUUCGGAAUAAAAUCAAACUUCCGAGCACAGAACCACCACUUCCAAUCAAGGCCAACAAGCCAAAAAAUCGAAACACGACCCGGCCUAGCUGCCGAUCAACGAACCAAGUUACCCCGGGGAUAACAGCGCUAUCUUCUUCAAGAGUCCCUAUCAACAAGAAGGUUUACGACCUCGAUGUUGGAUCAG